GAACAUUUGACUCUAUAUAAUUGUAGUCUCAUUAUGAAAACAAAGACAAUCAUAUUAAAGUCACCAAUAAGUGGCAUGGAUGGUAAAUUCCUCCUGCGCCAUUUCCGGCCAUUUUCUACUCUCAAGACACGUUUAAUUCCCCAUUUGCUCGGAUAAGUGGGAGUCGAUUUGUAAAUUACUUUUUUUAAUUUCAAUUAGUAAACUAAUUAUGGACACGUGGUCCACAUUGGACCAAACAGCCCUUGGAGAUUGGAAAAGUAGCAUUAGCAUUAGCACGUUAUUUCUUAGAACACCACAAAAUUUUUGUGCUUUCUUGAUAGAUCAAUCCUGCAAAGUAAUAUUAUAUAAUCUCUCUCUCUCUCUCUCU
rnacentral:misc_RNA from 1 species